AUGCUCCGCGGCGCGACCUCCAGCAACCUCCGGGAAGCGGGGUCGAGCUACCUCGACGCUGCCGCAUCCAUGCUGCGUGCCUCUGAGACGCCGGGCGAUUCCGCGCUGUGCCACUUCCGCGCGUCGGCGUCAGCCAUUGGUGCAGCUGAAGCUGCCUUCCGCGCCGCCCUCGUCGCCCUGUCUGAUGAUUACCCGUUAACCAACUCCAGUGGCGCCUCCAGCGGCGAUGACUCGGAUCUUAUCCGCAUCAUCAACAGCGAGCUUGAGUCAGCCUUGAGAUCUGAUGAUCACCGUAAGGUCGACAAUAUUCUCACAGAAUUCCCAUUCGAGAUGGGCGACAAGGGAUCCGCCGGCCUAACCUUCACCAGGAAUUUUCAUGACGAGGAGAUCGAGGUACUGGUUUCGGUGCCAGCAGAGUAUGAGUAUAAUGAGUCCUGA
rnacentral:rRNA from 1 species